rnacentral:lncRNA from 1 species
CCCUGAUUCCCUACUAUAGAAGAUUAUGUCUCAUUAAAAACCUUGUUAAGAAAACCCAGUGGGAAAAACUUAACGAAGGAAAAAAGAGUACAUAUCUUUUACAUAAAUAUCUUAAUUGACUGCCUCGUUAAAACCUUGUCAGGAAAAACCCAUUGGGAUAAAAACCGUGACUAAGGAAAAAGAGUACAGUCUUCCCCUCAAAAGGGAUUCAUUACUCCUUGAUGAAAUGUUGUCAUAAGUCUUUCAGUCGACACAUUCCGAUCCUUUUCCGAAGUUUUGCAAAAGUUGCAUUUGGU